GCUGCCCCCUGCCUCUCGCCGCUUUCCGUGGCAAACGGUUUGUUUCCGAUCACCGGCGGGCCCGUGUUUCCCCUGCUGGUCUGUGGGUUGGAUGUUGAGCUAGUCCAGCCCGUCCCUUGGGGGUCACACCCGCUCUUCCCAAUCUCCGUGCACCCCGCUCACAGUUCAGUUCAAAAACACUUUGAACGGCCCACUCGGAAAUGCGUUGUGAUCCCAGUGGUGCCACAGUGCACACGCGUGAAAUGACCUAGGACAGAGAUUUCCGGAGCGUUGGAGUUUUAAUCGCCUUCGGUCAUUUGCCAUAAUUUCCGAGUUUUGCUUUGGUGGUGGCUUAAUAGAUACCACAGUUUAUGUUUCCUGAAACCCCAACUUUGCUACCAGCUCCAAGAACAGUGAGGUGGUGUGGCUCCCCGCCGCCCUAGAGCGGGACGAGCCCAUCCAGAAGCUGCAGUGGGCGGAGCUAGGGAGCUCUGAGCCCGCCCCUCAGAAAGUCAGGCGGUGACCCAGAAGUAUAAAGGCUUGCCUUCAGAGCUCAGUAGGGCCCCAGCCACCGGAAAGGCCAGACGCCUCCAGCCUAGCUCAUGACAGGGAAACCCCCGCGGACCCAGGUACACGCCAGGACUGACUGGACCUGCCCUGCACCUGCUAUGCAGAGGAGGUGCUGGACCUUCCAUGUGCUCGCUACCCAGAGGAGUUCCCGGGCCUGCUGCUUGCCCACUAUCCUGAGGAACCCAUGGUGCUGGACCCCCCGGAGAAAAAACACCCUGACCCAGGAUUGGGACUUCUAAAACAAUACAGAACUGAACAGGGAUCCUAGAAAUCUGUUUUCAACGGAAAAAUGCAGAAUUUGUGUUUUUGCAGAUAAUCUUUGGUUUUUACAGUUUGUG